rnacentral:sRNA from 2 species
UGCAUCUGAGGCCUGCGAGGAUGAGAACCUCCGGGGGCAGGAGGUUCGACUCGAGCGAAGCGAGAGAACGUUGUGUCAGCAACGGCCCGCAGGGCGAGCCACGAAGUGGUGAGUCAUCCUCUAUCACCGACCA